AUUGAACGCUGGCGGCAGGCUUAACACAUGCAAGUCGAGCGGAGCGAGGGUGCUUGCACCUUAGCUUAGCGGCGGACGGGUGAGUAAUGCGUAGGAAUCUGCCUAUUAGUGGGGGACAACAUUCCGAAAGGAAUGCUAAUACCGCAUACGCCCUACGGGGGAAAGCAGGGGAUCGUCGGACCUUGCGCUAAUAGAUGAGCCUAAGUCGGAUUAGCUAGUUGGUGGGGUAAAGGCCUACCAAGGCGACGAUCUGUAGCGGGUCUGAGAGGAUGGUCCGCCACACUGGGACUGAGACACGGCCCAGACUCCUACGGGAGGCAGCAGUGGGGAAUAUUGGACAAUGGGCGGAAGCCUGGUCCAGCCAUGCCGCGUGUGUGAAGAAGGCCUUUUGGUUGUAAAGCACUUUAAGCGAGGAGGAGGCUACUAGUACUAAUACUACUGGAUAGUGGACGUUACUCGCAGAAUAAGCACCGGCUAACUCUGUGCCAGCCGCCGCGGUAAAAC
rnacentral:rRNA from 1 species